UGGACAGAAUGUGCUGUAAUGUGCUUUGAUUGGAGGAGCUUAUCAAUGAGUAAUUGGCUUUAAAUGUAGAUAUAUUUCCACUAUGCGCUUUGGUGAACUGAAUACCUCUGAAAGAUCCAUAGCGGGCAUUUCCUGUUGCAUCAGAGGACAGUUGGGGGAUUAAAGCAGCAGAUAGCCUGAAGGAUUUGCUUAAUGGAGGGGUGGAGAAUGAAAAGCCCAUAAGCGAAGCGCAGGACAGAGAGAGAAAGGCUUACCAGCAGAGAAAGAGAGAGCGAGGUCCGGGACAGAAUAUCCAUUCAGGUAGUUCGACAACAUGUUGCACCCCAUCAUGGUUGGCAUUGUCUGUGUAAACACCUCCAUGACCAUCAUCUUCUGGGUCUUCAUGCUCAGUGAAGCCUUCCUUAGGGUAGGGGAUCCAGAGCCCAAAGCCACCGUCAAUCCAGCCUAGAUUAGCGUAGCAAUGCAAACGACCACAGAGAAACCCAAAAACAGCUUAUGUAGCUCGUAGUGCUCUUGUGAUCUUCGUUUUCUCAGGGGGUGAAGUUUUCUCUACGCACCAUUUAUUUGAGCUCCCGCCCUACACCCUUCUUUCUCACACCUCGCUGAUGCCAGUGGAGCAGAAGCUGACCUCCAGCUGUUCUCCCUUUCCUUUCCGGUUCCUGGGCCUGCACUCAUUCCAAGGCCUUCUCUUUUCCAUUAACUGGGUGACUGUCCGAUCGGUAACCACGAAAUAAAGAGACUGGAAAUAGCACGACAAUAUAUUCAGGCCGCAAAGGGGAAAUGGUGGCAGCGAUAACAGGGAAAAGUCCACGGAUAUAAGCUAAGAGCUCCCUGCUGAUCCUGGGUGUGGAGCGGCUCGAGCGCUGAAGACUGGAUUCUUGGGCCCCAAAGUGAUGAAGAGGAUGAUGAAUGUGGCCCCUGUGGAGAGGAAGAAAGAGAAGGGGAAGAAGGGAUGACAGACGGAUCCGGAGAGGAAUUGAAGAUGGAAUUAGAGAGUCCUGGAGCUCAGCAGGGUUGUUCGAUGCUCCUGCUCCCUGGCCAUGUAUCUCCAUAGCACAGUCGCACAGAGAAGAGAAUGGACCUGAACAACAAACACUUAGCCUAGUCCUAUCAGCAUUUGACACCACCUAAAUCUCUCUAUUUAACUCUGGCCCAUUAAAAAUACAUUAAUCUGUGCAUUACACUACCAUAGAGGUAGCCUGAAGUUCAGUUUCAUAGGGGCCUCUAAAGUAUGUGGAAUUUUUGAUCUGAAAACAUUUGUAAAGAAUUUUAUAAAGGAAUUAUUAUAUUGUUUCUUAUUUUAUACACUGAUAUGUGUAAAUAUGACUAGAUCUCAGCUUCAGAACUUUUUAUCAAACACAUACCUGUUCCAUGACAGCUUACAUUGUGGCUAACAUGCCAGGCUGUACAAGAAAAAGCACAUUUUAUGUAAGCAUGUGUUACUUGGGCCAGACGCACAUAAUUCUGCAUAGACAGUUGUAUGCAUUAACUAAAGAAUAUUAGUCUUGUACAUC